GACGAACCGUGCAAACGUUGUUCGGAAUCACUGGGCUUAAAGGGGCGCGUAGGCGGGCCAGCCAGUCUGUGGUGGAAAGCCUCCAAGCUUCAACUGGAGAAGUGCCGUGGAUACUGCUGGCCUCGAGGAGGGUAGGGGCAUCUGGAACGGUCGGUGGGAGCAGGUGAAAUGCUUAGAUAUCGAUCAAGAACACCUAUAGCGAAGGCAGCUUACUAGGCUGUAACCUGACGCUGAGCACGAAAGUGUGGGAUCAAACAGGA
rnacentral:rRNA from 1 species